AUUGAACGCUGGCGGCAGGCCUAACACAUGCAAGUCGAGCGAGCGGCGGACGGGUGAGUAAUGUCUGGGGAUCUGCCCGAUAGAGGGGGAUAACUACUGGAAACGGUGGCUAAUACCGCAUACUAUCGGAUGAACCCAGAUGGGAUUAGCUAGUAGGUGGGGUAAAGGCUCACCUAGGCGACGAUCUCUAGCUGGUCUGGGAGGAUGAUCAGCAACACUGGGGCCGAGACACGGCCCAGAAUCCUACGGGAGGCAGCGGUGGGGAAUAUUGGAAGAUGGGCGCAAACCUGAUGCAGCAACGCCGCGUGUAUGAAGAAGGCCUUCGGGUUGUAAAGUACUUUCAGCGGGGAAGCGUUACCCGAAGAAGAAGCACCGGCUAACUCCGUGCCAGCCGCCGCGGUAAUGC
rnacentral:rRNA from 1 species